rnacentral:lncRNA from 13 species
GGGAUAGCCUGGGGAGAAAUGCCAAAUGUGGGUGAAGGGGAGAAGAAAAGCAAAGCACACUGCCAUGUGUGUACCUACGCAACUGUCUUGCAUGCUCUGCUCAUGUACCCUAAAACCUAAAAUCCAUUAAAAAAAAAAAAAAUUAAAGAAAUUAAAAAUAAUAAUAAUAAUAAUAUUUCAAGACCCUGACUCUUAAAAAUAAAUUAGCUAGGCAUGACGGCAUGCUCCUAUACUCAGUCCUAGCUACUCAGGAGGCUGUGGUGGGAGGAUUGCUUGAGCCCAGGAGUUUGAGGGUACAACGAGCUACGAUUCUGCCAGGUAUUUUACCUUGGGCAACAGAGCAAGACCCUGUCUCCCAUAUAUAUAUAUAUGUUUAUGAAGAGACUCUCUCACUGUCUCUCUCUAUAUGUAUAUGAAGAGACUCUCUCUCUCUAUAUAUAUGUAUAUGAAGAGACUCUCUUCAUAUACAUAUAUAUAUAUAUAUAGAGAGAGAGAGAGAGAGUGACUUCAAAGCAUAAUAUAUAAGAAAUGUCUAAUUAUUUGAAAGUAUAUUUGGAAUGUUAUUUUCUAAAAGAAUCAACAUAAAAUGUUGGGUUUGUUUCCCAGUAUAAUUCAAAAGACUAUUUGGUUCAUAAUGCAUAUUUAAAUCCAUAGCAUAUUUACAACAAAAAUUUAUUUAAAAGGACUACUGAAGAAACAAUAUUUUAAACAGCAAAACCAUGUAAUAACCAUAAACUAUUGUGAACACUGUUUUAAUUUAAAAAUAAGCAAGUAGAAUAAUUCUAUUCAGUGGAGCUAAACCUUUGCUAAAAAUUUCCAAGGAGUUUCUAAAUUUCAGGGAUUUGAAAGGCAAAAAGCACCAAUUUUAUUAUGCCUAAUAUCAGAUCAAAGUUUUUUUCCUUCUUGAUACAGGUAUUACACUGACACUAAAUUCAAGCAGGCUUAGAUUUUAUUUCUUGGCCUGCAAAUUUGCCUGUGUUCCAUGUGAAAAGCAGCAGGGGAU